UUUUUAUGCACUGCUUGUGACGUGCUAUGGCAAUCAUGACGUCAUUUGGCCUCCCCAUAAACAAAUUAUGAAAGGAAGAAAUUGAGAAAAAAAAUGUUGCAUAGUAUAAGGUAAAACAAAGAUAAUAAGGAAAGUAGCAUCAAAAAGGUUGGAGGUUUCAUAAAAUGGGGUGCAUGGGUUCCAAAAAAAAGAAGCCACAGACACCGCCAGCACCACCAGAGGAACCAAAGGCUGAAGAACCUGCCACUGAGGAGAAGCCAGCAGAUGAUCAUCAGCCAGCUGAGGAAAAGGGAGAAGAAGAUGGCCAGGGAUAGCGACCUGGCGAGCUUAACCUGUGAUGACUUUCGAAAAUGGACGACCCCUAACAACACACGUGACCACCAGCAGCACCACCACCCCUGGAGUAAAACCACCACCCCCUGGAGUAAAACCACCACCCCCAACAAAAAAAAACUACACGUCCACUUCAUCCUCCCCGAUCAGAGCAAGCACGUCCACUGUUUAGAGCAGCCUGUCCGCGACACAGAACACAGUGUGCGACAGUUGAGAGCAACAUCGAGAACACGCCAUCGAAAAUAACAUCACCCAAUCACCAUCCACGUUGGCACGGUUGCAGAUACAUCUAGCAUUAAUGAUGGUAAAAUUGUUCCAAAAAAAAAAAACUUUUUUCAAAGAAGCCAACGAAUAAAAUUUUGUUUCUUUAUUAAUUAAUUGUAAUAUUGAACAUCUAUGUGUGAAAUUAACUAUUAAAAUAGAUUAAUUUAAAAAUGUA